GCACUUAAAGGAGGACCGCUGAGUAUUUUCUUAACAGAAGAGCAAAUAUUUACGUCUUAGGAACUAAAGGGCAGUUUGGCGUGUGUGGGAUAUUGACUCUCAACUGGGGGUGGGCAGGGAAACAAACCCUUGGCUGUCUUUGGCCUCACUCAGCCCAAACGAGCGGAGACGUCUCCCUCAGUCUAGGGGCCACCUGGGCCUCUAUCCACCUGCAGAGAGAGAAGGAGGGCCGAGUCGGCUGUGCCGGCGACGACUCCUCACCUUGGGGUGACUGAGCAACCCUCGACCAACCCCUCCUGACCACCACCUUCCGCAGCGGGGGCGGUGGGUCCUUCCUUCUCUCUGGCUUUUGCUGUGCCUGAGGGCAGAAACCCUUGCGUGGUCCCCCCUCCAGACCUGUCCACACUUGCAGGUGAUGGCCACCAGCCCGGCCACGUGGGGAGCAUGACUGCCAGCCUGCUGUGCGUCGGUAAAUGCAGCCUGGGUCAAAGGGUCAGGUUAUUAAAGGUAAACACACACACCCUCCAAGGCUAGUGCAGCGGGGAGGCAGCGGGAGGAGCUGCGGGGGAGCCCACGGAGAGAAUGGAGCCUCCUAAGGACCCCCAGCACCCACUUCCUGGGGGGUGAGCUGCAGCCAGAGCCCCUGGGUUCGCCCAAGCCCAGGAUCUGCCUUUGGGGCCCUCUGACACCAGCCCUGCCCAGGAGUGCUCUGCCCAGGAGUGCCAGCCCAGCCCUGCUGUGGGAGCACGUGGGGCUCUCUGGGGAGCAGGCUGGCCCUGACCCCAGCAGGAGAUGCAGUUCAGGGACCUCCCCAGAUGGGGGUGUCCUGCCGAGGUGCACCUGCCUGUCUGCUGGUGGCUUGGCUUCCUAACCCCAUGGCAAUCCUGCUGCACGCUUCUGGAAGUUUCCACCAGCAAUCCCGUGAGCUCUGGGUCUGCACUUCAGCUAUCUGCAUGGAAAAGGACACCUGCUUUCUCUGACCGCCUGGUGAACUUGGGCUGUGCACACAGAGGGGUG
rnacentral:lncRNA from 1 species